UGUGGUUGUGGCUCAGUGGUCGAGCACUUGCCUGGCAUGUGUGAGGCCUAGGUUCAAUCCUCAGCACCAUAA
rnacentral:tRNA from 1 species